UGGCUCAAAGGAGUAGAGCACCAGCCCCAUAUGCUGGAGGUGGUGGGUUCAAACCCAU
rnacentral:tRNA from 1 species